rnacentral:rRNA from 1 species
AUGAGCAUGCGUACCAUUAACUAGUUGGUGUGGUAACGGCACGCCCAGGCUACGAUGGUUAGGGGCCCUGAGAGGGGGAUCCCCCACACUGGUACUGAGUACACAGACCAGACUCCUACCGGAGGCAGCAGUGAGGAAUAUUGGACGAUGGGCGAGAGCCUGAUCCAGCCAUGCCUCGCGCAUGAGGACGGCCCUAUGGGUUGUAAACUGCUUUUUUACGGGAAGAAACACGUCUACGUGUAGAGGCUUGACGGUACCGUACGAAUAAGGACCGGCUAACUCCGUGCCUCCAGCCGCGGUAAUACGGAGGGUCCGAGCGUUAUCCGGAAUCAUUGGGUUUCAGGGGUCCGUAGGCGGGCAACUAAGUCAGUGGUGAAAUUCUGCAGCUCAACUGUAUAACUGCCAUUGAUACUGGUUGUCUUGAAUCGUUGUGAAGUGGCUAGAAUAUGUAGUGUAGCGGUGAAAUGCUUAGAUAUUACAUAGAAUACCGAUUGCGAAGGCAGGUCACUAACAACGUAGUGACGCUGAUGGACGAAAGCGUGGGGAGCGAACAGGAUUAGAUACCCUGGUAGUCCGCGCCGUCAACGAUGGAUACUAGCUGUCCGGCGCACAUUGAUGUGCUGGGUGGC